UGCAGCUCAGUGGUGGAGCGCUUGCCUAGCAUGCGUGGGCCCCUGGGUUCCAUCCCCAGCACUGCAA
rnacentral:tRNA from 1 species